UAAAAAAAAGAAGAGAGAAUUGAGGAAACGUUAGGUAGCAUUGCUGUGAAAUACAGCUUGUUUAAUUUGUGUGAGAUUAGCCAGUAUUGUUUAAUGAAACUUGGCACAAUUUUGAUAUCAAUACUUUUAAUGGCAGACAUAUCUGAAGUCAUGACUUACAGACAGUGCUUUGUAUGUGUGAGUAACGCGGCAUUUUUGUACGUUGAAAACGUGUUUUUCAUGAGAUUUUAAUUACAACCUUAAAUGCAAUUUCGCGAACCGUAAAAAUAUCGUUCAAUGUUGUAAUUAGACAUUUUUGAUGUCUAAAGAGGUAUCAAUUUCUCUCAGAGUCAAAUUAUGCCAGAAACGGACUUGCAUGUUACAUAAAAUGAAUAUUCCGUAUUUAAGGACUUUUCAAUCAGGAAGAACAGUUUGCAGUAAUACGUUCCAUAACGCUAUACGGGAAAUUAUUGUUAUUCAAAUUUUUGGUUGCGGUAUUGAUUCAUCGAUUGACCCACAGUUGAUAUCAGUAAAGUUACAUAUGGUGAACUAUUGAACAAAUCCUGAGCUAACGUGUCAUAAUGUAAUUGUAAUAACAACAGAAUAUCAAUAUGUUACUGUAAUACAAACAGACUAUGUAAUAUCGUAGCCUAUCCCCCUUAAUAGCCUCGCCCAAACGAAACUGACAAUAAUACUUUCGAUUUGCUUGCUUAUAAAACUGGGUGACAGUCAGUAGUUGUUUCUGUGCCCAGUCUAGAGCAUCCGCUGUGAAAAAGAUCCUGAUCGCAUCUUCACGCUUCGCUUUAUUCUUCUGCGGAAAAGAUUGUGCGCGAACUGAUUCCAGAACAGAUUAUCCCGAGGGAGGAGGAUGGAUUGCCCCCAGUGCCGCAGGGAAUGUGGGCAGAAUGACAAGUUCUGCAGUGAAUGCGGCUACAGACUGUGCUCUGCAAGGGCACCUGUCACAGAGCUUUCUGUACCUGGGAACCUGAUUGUAGACCUCAAGGUCAGCAUUUCUGGAGCAGAACCCAGGGGCAGUUCUGCCGUCGUCCACAGGGUUGUGCUGUCGGACCUGCAGCCGGGAACUGAAUGCAUUGCCACCAUCUCCAAGGAAAUGGAUGAUGGGGUGCUGAGUAAUGCCACCCCCAAAACCUCCAACAGAAAUAAGGGUUCCCCUGCAUUGUGAAACCAUGGUUCCCAACUUUCUGAACCCACAAUAAAAUUCAUAA